GACGAACGCUGGCGGCGUGCUUAACACAUGCAAGUCGAACGGAAAGGCCCUGCUUUUGUGGGGUGCUCGAGUGGCGAACGGGUGAGUAACACGUGAGUAACCUGCCCUUGACUUUGGGAUAACUUCAGGAAACUGGGGCUAAUACCGGAUAGGAGCUCCUGCUGCAUGGUGGGGGUUGGAAAGUUUCGGCGGUUAGGGAUGGACUCGCGGCUUAUCAGCUUGUUGGUGGGGUAGUGGCUUACCAAGGCUUUGACGGGUAGCCGGCCUGAGAGGGUGACCGGCCACAUUGGGACUGAGAUACGGCCCAGACUCCUACGGGAGGCAGCAGUGGGGAAUAUUGCACAAUGGGCGGAAGCCUGAUGCAGCAACGCCGCGUGCAGGAUGACGGCCUUCGGGUUGUAAACCGCUUUCGCCUGUGACGAAGCGUGAGUGACGGUAAUGGGUAAAGAAGCACCGGCUAACUACGUG
rnacentral:rRNA from 1 species